rnacentral:rRNA from 1 species
UACAGAGGUCUCAAGCGUUGUUCGGAUUCAUUGGGCGUAAAGGGUGUGUAGGUGGCGCCGUAAGUCGGGUGUGAAAUUUCGGAGCUUAACUCCGAAACUGCAUUCGAUACUGCGGUGCUUGAGGACUGGAGAGGAGACUGGAAUUCAUGGUGAGCAGUGAAAUGCGUAGAGAUCAUGAGGAAGACCAGUGGCGAAGGCGGGGUCUCCUGGGACAGUUCCUG